GUGACUGUAGCUCAAUCGGUAGAGCGCUGGGAUGUGGCCCCAGGUCAUGUGAGGGUUCGAGCCCCUUCAGUCACC
rnacentral:tRNA from 1 species